ACUGCUCAGUAACACGUGGAUAACCUGCCCUUGGGUCCGGCAUAACCCCGGGAAACUGGGGAUAAUUCCGGAUAACGCACAUAUGCUGGAAUGCUUUAUGCGUAAAAUGGAUUCGUCUGCCCAAGGAUGGGUCUGCGGCCUAUCAGGUAGUAGUGGGUGUAAUGUACCUACUAGCCAACAACGGGUACGGGUUGUGAGAGCAAGAGCCCGGAGAUGGAUUCUGAGACAUGAAUCCAGGCCCUACGGGGCGCAGCAGGCGCGAAAACUUUACAAUGCGGGAAACCGUGAUAAGGGGACACCGAGUGCCAGCAUCAUAUGCUGGCUGUCCAGGUGUGUAAACUACACCUGUUAGCAAGGGCCGGGCAAGACCGGUGCCAGCCACCGCGGUAACACCGGCGGCCCGAGUGGUGAUCGUGAUUAUUGGGUCUAAAGGGUCCGUAGCCGGUUUGGUCAGUCCUCCGGGAAAUCUGAUAGCUCAACUAUUAGGCUUUCGGGGGAUACUGCCAGGCUUGGAACCGGGAGAGGUAAGAGGUACUACAGGGGUAGGAGUGAAAUCUUGUAAUCCCUGUGGGACCACCUGUGGCGAAGGCGUCUUACCAGAACGGGUUCGGCGGUGAGGGACGAAAGCUGGGGGCACGAACCGGAUUAGAUACCCGGGUAGUCCCAGCCGUAAACGAUGCUCGCUAGGUGUCAGGCAUGGCGCGACCGUGUCUGGUGCCGCAGGGAAGCCGUGAAGCGAGCCACCUGGGAAGUACGGCCGCAAGGCUGAAACUUAAAGGAAUUGGCGGGGGAGCAC
rnacentral:rRNA from 1 species